rnacentral:lncRNA from 1 species
CCUGAAUACUUUGUGGACACCAAAAUGAUUGAGAGCUUGAGAAAGAAAAGGAAGGAAAGAGAAAGAGAAUAGGAUAUGCUAGAUUUUUGUUGGAUGUUAGCAAAAGACUUGAUUGGAGUUUUGAAUACCGAUUUGGUAUUUUAGGGAGAUGAAGAUGGGAUCAAACCCUAGGCGCAUUUUAGAAACAAAUAAAUUCAUUUUUCAAGCAUAAACAUUGUGCAACAGCAUGAGUGCAACAAACCACUAAGUUAAAUUGAAAAAAAAAUUUAGAAACUCACUUUUUCCCUAGUGUUUUCUAAGUCACAUUCCAAUGUAGGAAUUUUGGGGUGUGACAAACCUCGAAAGAAAAGAAAAAGUGAGAUGAGAGGUAAAUACCCACCUAAGAGGAAAGAAAAAGAAAAUACAGAGCAUCUCAUUCUCUCCAAAAAAAAGCAAGGAAGGUAUGUAUCCCCUCAAAAGAGCACAAGUAGAAUUAGACUUUCACCAUUGUUGAAACCGCUGUGGAAGUUUGACGGCAAGUUGAAACCGCUCAUACACUAUCCUGUUUUCAUUCCAAUAAAAAGAGGAAGAAAACAGUGCUUAUUAUGCAAUCAAUAUUUAUGCCAGCAUGAUUUUUGCCUUCCCCGGCAACGGCGCUAGAAAUGUUUGUUGGUAUUUCUUAGCGUCACUACUAAAAAUAGACCAUAAAUCCAUCGUUAGCAAUGGCACC